GGUCAACAUAACCUAUAUAUAUAUAAUUUGAAAGACCCAAGUUAAAUUCCCUCCUCUUAUAUAUGCAAUAUAUUUUUUUUAAUUUAACAAAAAUCAACUUUGAAGCAAUCAAAACCAAUUGGUCUGAUUCAAAAUCAAAAUUAAUUUAUUUCUUUUAAAAAAACUGAAAAAAAAUGAAAAUUCAACCACUAAAUUUGAGACAAUCAGAAAUCAGAAUCGAAAUAGGAAG
rnacentral:misc_RNA from 1 species